rnacentral:rRNA from 1 species
GCAGCAGGCGCGCAAAUUACCCACUCCCGGCACGGGGAGGUAGUGACGAAAAAUAACGAUACGGGACUCAUCCGAGGCCCCGUAAUCGGAAUGAGUAUACUCUAAAUCCUUAUACGAGUAUCAAUUGGAGGGCAAGUCUGGUGCCAGCAGCCGCGGUAAUUCCAGCUCCAAUAGCGUAUAUUAAAGUUGUUGCGGUUAAAAAGCUCGUAGUUGGAUCUGUGUCCCGCACCGUCGGUUCACCGCCUGUCGGUGUUACACUGGCGUGUAUGCGGGACGUCCUGCCGGUGGCGGUCCGGUUCUCCGUCGGUUGUAGGGGUCGUCCUUGCUUCGGCUCGCGUCGUCCCCGAAGGCCUUCGGUGUAUCCGGCCGCCUUUUCGAUCCCGUCGCGGUGCUCUUUACCGAGUGUCGAGGCGGGCCGGCACGUUUACUUUGAACAAAUUAGAGUGCUUUAAGCAGGCCCUGUCCCGCCUGUAUGUUGUGUGCAUGGAAUAAUGGAAUAGGACCUCGGUUCUAUUUUGUUGGUUUUCGGAAUCUGAGGUAAUGAUCAAUGGGGACAGGCGGGGGCAUUCGUAUUGCGACGUUAGAGGUGAAAUUCUUGGAUCGUCGCAAGACGGACCGAAGCGAAAGCAUUUGCCAAGUAUGUUCUCGUCGAUCAAGAACGAAAGUUAGAGGUUCGAAGGCGAUCAGAUACCGCCCUAGUUCUAACCAUAAACUAUGCCUGCCAGCGAUCCGCCGAAGUUCCUCCGAUGACUCGGCGGGCAGCUUCCGGGAAACCAGAGCUUUUGGGUUCCGGGGGAAGUAUGGUUGCAAAGCUGAAACUUAAAGGAAUUGACGGAAGGGCACCACCAGGAGUGGAGCCUGCGGCUUAAUUUGACUCAACACGGGAAAACUCACCAGGCCCGGACACCGGAAGGAUUGACAGAUUGAGAGCUCUUUCUUGAUUCGGUGGGUGGUGGUGCAUGGCCGUUCUUAGUKGGUGGAGCGAUUUGUCUGGUUAAUUCCGAUAACGAACGAGACUCUAGCCUACUAACUAGGCGUACCCGGUAUCCACAAUCGUGCUACCGGCGAUCAAAUUUCUUCUUAGAGGGACAGGCGGCUUCUAGCCGCACGAGACUGAGCAAUAACAGGUCUGUGAUGCCCUUAGAUGUCCUGGGCCGCACGCGCGCUACACUGAAGGAAUCAGCGUGUCUUCCCUGUCCGAAAGGACCGGGUAACCCGCUGAACCUCCUUUGUGCUAGGGAUUGGGGCUUGCAAUUGUUCCCCAUGAACGAGGAAUUCCCAGUAAGCGCGAGUCAUAAGCUCGCGUUGAUUACGUCCCUGCCCUUUGUACACACCGCCCGUCGCUACUACCGAUUGAAUGAUUUAGUGAGGUCUUCGGACUGGUGCGCGGAGGCCGCUUAUGCGGUCUCCGAUGUUGCCGGAAAGAUGACCAAACUUGAUCAUUUAGAGGAAGUAAAAGUCGUAACAAGGUUUCCGUAGGUGAACCUGCGGGAAGGA